AGAUUGUGUUGAGGACAUUUCCUCAAGAGCUUCUUGAAGCGCUCCCAAGCUUCAUAGAGAUUUUCUUCAGUGGGUUGCUGUAAGACCCAAGUUUUUAAGUUU